GGGGGUAUAGCUCAGCUGGCUAGAGCACCUGCUUUGCAAGCAGGGGGUCAUCGGUUCGAAUCCGUUUACCUCCA
rnacentral:tRNA from 2 species